GUGCGAGCAGCCGCGGUAAUACCGGCAGCCCGAGUGAUGGCCGAUCUUAUUGGGCCUAAAGCGUCCGUAGCUGGCUACGCAAGUCCGUCGGGAAAUCCACUCGCCCAACGAGUGGGCGUCCGACGGAAACUGCAUAGCUUGGGACCGGAGGGCUCGAAGGGUACGUUCGGGGUAAGAGUGAAAUCCCAUAAUCCCGCACGGACCACCGAUGGCGAAAGCACUUCGAGAAAACGGAUCCGACAGUGAGGGACGGAAGCCAGGGUCUCCAACCGGAUUAGAAACCCCAGUAGUCC
rnacentral:rRNA from 1 species